CCCGCCCCCUUCCCGCGUCUCCGCUCCCUCCCUGCGCAGCGGAAAUAUGGCGGCGGGAAGGGAGUGAGCCGCCCCGCGCCCCCGCCGCGCCCUCAGAUGGAGAAAUUAGCAUACAAAGAAACUGACUUGUCAGAAGUCAGAGCAAGGUAUUGGUGGGUCCAAGGAUAAAUCCCAAACUUCUUAACCCCUAGACCGGUCUUUAGUCCAUUGACUAUGCAGCCUAAUGGUAAGUAUCUUUUUACCCUACUGUGGAGGUAAGAGGGAUUAAGAGACCUAGCAAGGACUGGCUUUAAGGAAUUCCUCACGACUAAUUAGACUACUCGUUAUCCUUUUCUUUAUAGCCAUGAUGUCAUUUUUGUCAUU
rnacentral:sRNA from 1 species